rnacentral:rRNA from 1 species
CUACGGAGGGGGCUAGCGUUGUUCGGAAUUACUGGGCGUAAAGCGCGCGUAGGCGGGCUGGUCAGUUGGGGGUGAAAUCCCGAGGCUCAACCUCGGAACUGCCCUCAAUACUGCCAGUCUAGAGGUCGAGAGAGGUGAGUGGAAUUCCUAGUGUAGAGGUGAAAUUCGUAGAUAUUAGGAAGAACACCAGUGGCGAAGGCGGCUCACUGGCUCGAAUCUGACGCUAAGGCGCGAAAGCGUGGGGAGCAAACAGGAUUAGAAACCCUAGUAGUCC